rnacentral:piRNA from 1 species
UGGGCUAAGGACUGCCCAAAGAAGCCACGAGG